AUGCCGCCACCACUCAUCGUCAAUGACGCGGUAGAUACAACGCCGCACCACCUGGCAACCUCCACACCAUCGCCACUGCUGGAGCUACUUGGAGCCCACCAUCCACAACAUCUCUCCCCCCAACAACAGUUCCUCCCAAGACGGCGUCUCCAUGGAGGAUACGACGCGCAGGACGCCGCCGCCGCCCAAUCCAGACUGAAUUUUGGACUUUCGUCCGGGAGGGGUUCAGAGGUGGAUAGGGGGGACCUCGGCUUCGCCUCCAGGAAGGCUAACAUCGUCAAGUGA
rnacentral:rRNA from 1 species